rnacentral:rRNA from 1 species
AUUGAACGCUGGCGGCAGGCUUAACACAUGCAAGUCGAGCGGUGAAGUGCAGUUUGCUACAUUACCUAGCGGCGGACGGGUGAGUAAUGCUUAGGAAUCUGCCUAUUAGUGGGGGACAACAUUCCGAAAGGAAUGCUAAUACCGCAUGCGUCCUACGGGAGAAAGCAGGGGAUCUUCGGACCUUGCGCUAAUAGAUGAGCCUAAGUCGGAUUAGCUAGUUGGUGGGGUAAAGGCCUACCAAGGCGACGAUCUGUAGCGGGUCUGAGAGGAUGAUCCGCCACACUGGGACUGAGACACGGCCCAGACUCCUACGGGAGGCAGCAGUGGGGAAUAUUGGACAAUGGGCGGAAGCCUGAUCCAGCCAUGCCGCGUGUGUGAAGAAGGCCUUAUGGUUGUAAAGCACUUUAAGCGAGGAGGAGGCUACUCUAGUUAAUACCUAGAGAUAGUGGACGUUACUCGCAGAAUAAGCACCGGCUAACUCUGUGCCAGCCGCCGCCGUAACAC